AUUUGAAUGCUGAUUCAUAAACCCACUUCCUACCUUGUUUUUUUUUUUUUUACCUCCCCCAGUCCACCCUCAUUUCAUUUCACGGCCACCAUCAUCAGCCGUUCACCACCAUGGCUUCCACUAAUCCUCACCACCACCACCAACUCAACGGCACCACCACCACAAUCGACCCCAAUAAUCCCUCAUCUCACAAUAAAACCAAAAACAACAACAUCGAUAUCUCCGCCGAAUUCGCCCAUCACGACCCAACCAUCGCCCGAAUCAACAACGGCAGUUUCGGGUCAUGCCCGAAUUCCAUAAUCCAAUCCCAACACCAUUACCAGCUCCAAUUCCUUCAACAACCCGACGACUUUUAUUUCAAUCAUCUCAAACCCUCAAUUCUCCGUUCCAGACAAUCAAUCAAAACCCUAAUCAACGCCAACCACGUCGACGAAAUCUCCAUCGUCGAUAACGCCACCACGGCCGCCGCAAUCGUCUUACAACAUGUAAAAUGGUCGUUUUUCGAGUCGAAAUUCAACCCGGGGGAUACUGCAGUCAUGCUUCAUUACGCUUACGGUGCCGUUAAGAAGUCGGUUGAGGCGUAUGUGACUCGUGCCGGUGGUCAUGUCAUUGAGGUUAAAAUGCCUUUUCCUGUUUCUUCUGAUAUUGAAAUUAUUGAUGCUUUUAGAGUUGCUUUAGAAUUAGGGAAAUCGGGUAAUCGUAAAGUUAGGUUAGCUGUGAUUGAUCAUAUUACUUCUAUGCCUAGUGUUGUGAUUCCUGUUAAAGAGUUAGUGAAAAUGUGUCGAGACGAAGGUGUGGAUCGGAUAUUUGUGGACGCUGCACACGCGAUUGGUUCGAUUGAGGUUGAUGUGCAGGAUAUAGGGGCGGAUUUUUAUACUAGUAAUUUGCAUAAGUGGUUGUUUUGUCCGCCUUCUAUUGCGUUUUUGCAUUGUAGGAAUCCUGAAAUGGUGAAUUUGCAUCAUCCGGUAGUGUCUCAUGAAUACGGGAAUGGGAUUGCGAUAGAGAGUUCGUGGAUCGGGACGAGGGACUAUAGUGCACAGUUAGUUGUACCCGAGGCGUUAGAGUUUGUUAAUAAGUUUGAAGGCGGAAUUGAGGGAUUAAGGAAAUGGAAUCAUGAAAAGGUUUUGGAAAUGGCGGAAAUGUUAGUGAAGGCUUGGGGGACUCAUCUUGGUUCACCUCCGGAAAUGUGUUCGAGUAUGGCAAUGAUUGGUUUGCCUGCUUGUUUAGGGAUUAUGAGUGAUUCUGAUGGGUUAAAGUUGAGGUCUCAUUUAAGGGAGAAUUUUAAGGUUGAAGUGCCGAUAUAUUAUCGGCAACCUAAGGAUGGGGAGGUUAAUCCGGUAACAGGGUAUGCUAGGAUUUCUCAUCAGAUUUACAAUACUGUUGAUGAUUAUUACAGAUUUCGAGAUGCCAUUAGCAAUCUUGUGAAUUCUGGCUUCACUUGUACAAGUUUUCAAGAUUGAAAGAGUAUUUUCUGAAUAGGUUACCGGGAAAGAUGGUGUAGGUGGAGAAGGUCCUUAUAUGGAAUAAAUGUCUGUGUAUAAUCACAGAAAAUAAAGGUUCAGCCAGUUACUUUACGCUCAGGUCACCAGGCAGGCAGGCAUGCAUGCACAAAGCUUGGAUGUAAAAUCACCGUGCUGCUGAGGCUGGUGACAAUAAUACUUCUUACAACAUCUCAAGUUGAGAUGCAGAAAACCAUCUUCUAGAUUUGAAGGUAACAAAGCUUGUAGCACCUCAUGAAUUAGAAAUCUCAAUGGGCAUUGUGGUUAUUGUUGUUUAGCUCCCACAUUUGUAAAACUUGCUUGAAGUUGCAUUUAACCUGGUUAACUACCAAGGCUCGACGCUGAACUCUCACAUUGUACCAUUAUAGAAAGCCUAAAGUGGGUUUUUAUUUGUACAAGUAUUGUUAUAGCAAAUAAGAUGGUUGGUUUACAAUUCUGGAGAGUAGGGAAAACACUUCAUUUCAAAUACAAAUUGUAUACCUUUGGGACAACCUAAAAAGAAGAUGAUGAUUGGAAUUUUUUUUUCUUGUCUUAUAAAACUCACUCUUAGAUCA